UCUGUGCAAAGGCGGUAAGCCACAAGAACAGGCUGGGGUCUUCAUGAUUGUCACGGUUCUUCUUCGCGUACAUUCGUCCAACGGGGGCUUCUCCGCUAAUUUACCGAAAUACGGACGAACAACCAGCCACAGAGCAAUAGGAGCGUGUGCAGCAGAACCCAGGAGUUCGCCGGAGAAGCACUACCCUCCGGGGGGCGGGGGAGAGGAGUGGUCGAGAGGAGCUCCGCGUCCAAUGAGAAUGCGAAGGCCCCUCCAAUGGAUUAACGGGCAGCCAAUCUGAGCCGAGCGCAGCGGAUCCCGCAGGCUCCAUUCAAGAAUCUCAAGUAUUCAAGAUGGACGGAGCGGAAUGCGGAGAGAGACGCGGGAGCUGUUUAGUGCCCGCCACUUUCUUGCCCGGGCAAAGCGGGGGGAAAACGCCAAAGUUUUAACCUCCACCACGGGGGCUCGCGAGAGAGGAGGAGAAGCCAGAGAGCUGCCGAAAGGGUUGAAUUCCCGAACACUCUCCUUGAAACAUAAAACUGGAUACUACUCCUGCUGGAUGAAGACUAAAGAGAAUGGCUUGAUUAAUAUGUGCCGUGCAGCAGCCCACUAUUCUAUAGAAACUCAUACUAAAGAAAGUGCAUUGAUAAAAUAAA